CCUACGGGUGGCAGCAGUCGAGAAUCAUUCACAAUGGGGGAAACCCUGAUGGUGCGACGCCGCGUGGGGGAAUGAAGGUCUUCGGAUUGUAAACCCCUGUCAUGUGGGAGCAAAUUAAAAAGAUAGUACCACAAGAGGAAGAGACGGCUAACUCAGUGCCAGCAGCCGCGGUAAUACAGAGGUCUCAAGCGUUGUUCGGAAUCACUGGGCGUAAGGGGUGCGUAGGCUGUUGCGUAAGUCGGGUGUGAAAGGCGCGGGCUCAACCCGCGGACGGCACAUGAUACUGGGAGACUAGAGUAAUGGAGGGGGAACCGGAAUUCUCGGUGUAGCAGUGAAAUGCGUAGAUAUCGAGAGGAACACUCGUGGCGAAGGCGGGUUCCUGGACAUUAACUGACGCUGAGGCACGAAGGCGAGGGGAGCGAAAGGGAUUAGAUACCCUUGUAGUC
rnacentral:rRNA from 1 species